AAGGUUUCCGUAGGUGAACUGCGGAAGGAUCAUUGUCGAAACCUGCAUAGCAGAAUGACUUGAGAACCUGUACAAUCCGUCUGGUGUGCCAGGGGUUGGGCUUAUGUUUGACCCUUGUAGCGCCUUGUUGAUUUUCCAUCCAUGGUCGCCCCUUUGGGGUCUCCUGGACGUCGAAUCAACACAACAACAAACCCCGGCACGACAUGUGCCAAGGAAAAUUUAAUAUAAGAAGGGCUUAUGCCGUGUCACCACGUUCGCGUUGGUGUGCAAGGCAUGCGGCUUCUUUGUAACCACAAACGACUCUCGGCAACGGAUAUCUUGGCUCAUGCAUCGAUGAAGAACGUAGCAAAAUGCGAUACUUGGUGUGAAUUGCAGAAUCCCGUGAACCAUCGAGUUUUUGAACGCAAGUUGCGCCCGAAGCCAUUCAGCUGAGGGCACGUCUGCCUGGGCGUCACGCAUCACGUCGCCCCCUCAUCAUGCCUCCUUGAUGGGGAUGCAUGGGGUGGGGCGGAUAUUGGUCUCCCGUUCCUAGAGAGCGGAUGACCAAAAUAGGAGCCCCCUUCAUGGACGCACGACAAGUGGUGGUUAACUAAACCCUCGUCUCAUGUCGUGUGUUUUGAGCCGUGAAUGAAGGCAACAAAAGCAACCCCAACGUGUCGUCUUGUGACGAUGCUUUGACCGCGACCUCAGGUCAGGCGGGACUACCCG
rnacentral:misc_RNA from 1 species